ACGCACGCUGGCGGCGUGCUUCACACCUGCCAGUCGAACGGAAAGGCCCUGCUUUUGUGGGGUGCUCGAGUGGCGAACGGGUGAGUAACACGUGAGUAACCUGCCCUUGACUUUGGGAUAACUUCAGGAAACUGGGGCUAAUACCGGAUAGGAGCUCCUGCUGCAUGGUGGGGGCUGGAAAGUUUCGGCGGUUGGGGAUGGACUCGCGGCUUAUCAGCUUGUUGGUGGGGUAGUGGCUUACCAAGGCUUUGACGGGUAGCCGGCCUGAGAGGGUGACCGGCCACAUUGGGACUGAGAUACGGCCCAGACUCCUACGGGAGGCAGCAGUGGGGAAUAUUGCACAAUGGGCGGAAGCCUGAUGCAGCAACGCCGCGUGCGGGAUGACGGCCUUCGGGUUGUAAACCGCUUUCGCCUGUGACGAAGCGUGAGUGACGGUAAUGGGUAAAGAAGCACCGGCUAACUACGUG
rnacentral:rRNA from 1 species